AGUGGCGCAAGGGUGUGUAACACGUGGGUAAUCUGCCGUGAAGUCUGGAAUAACUUGCUGAAAGGCGAGCUAAUACCGGAUGUGAACGCAAGUUCAAAGUUGGGGACCGCAAGGCCUGACGCUUCACGAUGAGCCCGCGGCCUAUCAGCUAGUUGGUGAGGUAACGGCCCACCAAGGCUAAGACGGGUAGCUGGUCUGAGAGGACGACCAGCCACACUGGAACUGAGACACGGUCCAGACACCUACGGGUGGCAGCAGUCGAGAAUUUUUCUCAAUGGGCGAAAGCCUGAAGGAGCGACGCCGCGUGGGGGAUGAAUGGCUUCGGCCCGUAAACCCCUGUCAUUUGCGAACAAAUUGUUUCACCUAACACGUGAAGCAUUGAUUGUAGCGGAAGAGGAAGGGACGGCUAACUCUGUGCCAGCAGCCGCGGUAAUACAGAGGUCCCAAGCGUUGUUCGGAUUCACUGGGCGUAAAGGGUGCGUAGGCGGCCAGGUAAGUUUGAUGUGAAAUCCCGCAGCUCAACUGCGGAACUGCAUUGAAUACUAUUUGGCUCGAGGAAUGGAGGGGAGACUGGAAUUCUCGGUGUAGCAGUGAAAUGCGUAGAUAUCGAGAGGAACACCAGUGGCGAAGGCGAGUCUCUGGACAUUUCCUGACGCUCAGGCACGAAAGCCAGGGGAGCAAACGGGAUUAGAUACCCCGGUAGUCCUGGCCUUAAACGGUGCGCAUUUGCUGUGAGCGGAAUCGACCCCGCUCGUGGCGAAGCUAACGCGUUAAAUGCGCCGCCUGGGAAGUACGGCCGCAAGGUUAAAACUCGAAGAAAUUGACGGGGGCCCGCACAAGCGGUGGAGUAUGUGGCUUAAUUCGA
rnacentral:rRNA from 1 species